GUGCUCGCUUCAGCAACACAUACAGUAAAAAUCGGAACGAUACAGAGAAGAUUAGCAUGGCCCCUGCACAAGGAUGAUACGCAAAUUCGUGAAGUGUUCCAUAUUUUC
ensembl:snRNA U6 U6 spliceosomal RNA